rnacentral:rRNA from 1 species
ACGAAGGUCCCGAGCGUUGUUCGGAAUCACUGGGCGUAAAGGGAGCGUAGGCGGCGCGGUAAGUCAGAUGUGAAAUCCCGGGGCUCAACCCCGGAACUGCAUCCGAUACUGCCGUGCUAGAGGAUUGGAGAGGCAGCUGGAAUUCUUGGUGUAGCAGUGAAAUGCGUGGAGAUCAAGAGGAACACUCGUGGCGAAAGCGAGCUGCUGGACAAUAUCUGACGCUGAGGCUCGAAGGCCAGGGUAGCGAAAGGGA